UACGUAGGUGGCGAGCGUUGUCCGGAUUUACUGGGCGUAAAGCGCGUGUAGGCUGCUCUGCAAGUCGGAUGUGAAAGCCCGAGGCUCAACCUCGGAACUGCCUUCGAUACUGCGGGUCUCGAGUCCGGGAGAGGUGAGUGGAAUUCCUAGUGUAGAGGUGAAAUUCGUAGAUAUUAGGAAGAACACCAGUGGCGAAGGCGGCUCACUGGCCCGGUACUGACGCUGAGGCGCGAAAGCGUGGGGAGCAAACAGG
rnacentral:rRNA from 1 species